rnacentral:lncRNA from 1 species
AUUUUUGCCUUCUGUGAUUAUAAAAAAAAUGUUGAAUGACAAGGUUCUAUUGUACUCAAUGUAAAAAAUUCAUGUGUAUAGAUCACUAUGGUUUAUUAUGUGUCGAUUGCUCAGAAUAACUAUUGUGUUCAUUUUCAUUUCAGAAAAUUAAUGAUUAAUAAACAACUUUUCAGAUUUAAAGUGUGUUUUAUUGCUCCUUGUAUUCUAUAAAACAAAAAUCAUCAAUAUAAUAUGUUCGUCUGAGAGACGAAUAUUUAUGAAUAGUGUAUCUCCCAUGCAUGUUUAUGAAUCUAGCGUUAAUGGUGAUGGUGGAUCAGCUGCAUUUUCCAAUGACUGUAUUGAGUUGUUUAGGAGAGCCAGGAUAGUUGCUGUUGAACUAAUAAGAGAUGCUGGUGGAGGACUAUCUCCAGUCAAAUUAGAAUGCCAUCUGCUAUUUGCUUUCUUCUUGGCCUCUAUUUUCAUUCUUUUCCAGCAUCCUUCAUAAUACAUUUUUUAUGAAAAUACA